GAAGAGUGUCCGUUAUUCAGUGUGCUAAAUACAGCACUCUGAAAGACUGCAGAGCUGCUCAGGAUCCUCUCUGUGGCUGGUGUGUGAACACACACACUAGAUGUUCUACUCAUGAUACUCCAUAGGUGUCCUUCCCAAAAAACUCUCUUGAGACACAGCUGUUUUCUUUUCAGAUGGCAAAGAAUUCUUCUGUGAUGAUCACUCUACAUCUUUUCUUGAGUCUGGAGAGCACAGGAAAUCCUGCCUUCUCAUGUGCCUUCACUAAAGAAAGUGUAAACCUGUGUGCUGGCUUUGAUCUGUCUGCAGUCUUCCCAAACUGCUCCUGUAGUUUUUCUGACCAGAUGCUCUAUACUG